UACGUAGGGGGCAAGCGUUGUCCGGAAUUAUUGGGCGUAAAGAGCGUGUAGGCGGUCCGGUAAGUCAGCUGUGAAAGUCAAGGGCUCAACCCUUGAAUGCCGGUUGAUACUGUCGGGCUAGAGUCCGGAAGAGGCGAGUGGAAUUCCCGGUGUAGCGGUGAAAUGCGCAGAUAUCAGGAGGAACACCGGUGGCGAAGGCGGGUCUCUGGGCCGAUACUGACGUGAGGAGCGAAAGCGUGGGGAGCGAACAGG
rnacentral:rRNA from 1 species